GAUGAACGCUGGCGGCGUGCUUAACACAUGCAAGUCGAACGAUGAAGCCCAGCUUGCUGGGUGGAUUAGUGGCGAACGGGUGAGUAACACGUGAGUAACCUGCCCUUAACUCUGGGAUAAGCCUGGGAAACUGGGUCUAAUACCGGAUAGGAGCGUCCACCGCAUGGUGGGUGUUGGAAAGACUUAUCGGUUUUGGAUGGACUCGCGGCCUAUCAGCUUGUUGGUGAGGUAAUGGCUCACCAAGGCGACGACGGGUAGCCGGCCUGAGAGGGUGACCGGCCACACUGGGACUGAGACACGGCCCAGACUCCUACGGGAGGCAGCAGUGGGGAAUAUUGCACAAUGGGCGAAAGCCUGAUGCAGCGACGCCGCGUGAGGGAUGACGGCCUUCGGGUUGUAAACCUCUUUCAGUAGGGAAGAAGCGAAAGUGACGGUACCUGCAGAAGAAGCACCGGCUAACUACGUG
rnacentral:rRNA from 1 species